rnacentral:rRNA from 1 species
AUUGAACGAUAGCGGCAGGCUUAACACAUGCAAGUCGAGCGAGCGGCGGACGGGUGCGUAAUGUCUGGGAAACUGCCUGAUGGAGGGGGAUAACUACUGGAAACGGUAGCUAAUACCGCAUACCAUCAGAUGUGCCCAGAUGGGAUUAGCUAGUAGGUGGGGUACUGGCUCAACUAGGCGAUGAUCCCUAGCUGGUCUGAGAGGAUGGACAGCUAAAGUGGAACAGAGAUACGGUCCAGCAACCUACGGGAGAGAGCAGUGGGGAAUAUUGCACAAUGGGCGCAAGCCUGAUGCUGACAUCCGGGGUGUGCGAAGAAGGUCUUCGGGUUGUAAAGCACUUGCAGCGAGGAGGCGGUACUCGCAGAAGAAGCACCGGCUAACUCCGUGCCAGCAGCCGCGGUAAAAA